UACAGAGGUCUCAAGCGUUGUUCGGAUUCAUUGGGCGUAAAGGGUGCGUAGGCGGCGCGGUAAGUCGGGUGUGAAAUCUCGGAGCUUAAACUCCGAAACUGCAUUUGAUACUGCGGUGCUUGAGGACUGGAGAGGAGACUGGAAUUUACGGUGUAAGCAGUGAAAUGCGUAGAGAUCGUAAGGAAGACAGUGGCGAAGGCGGGUCUCUGGACAGUUCCUGACACUGAGGCACGAAGGCCAGGGGAGCAAACGGG
rnacentral:rRNA from 1 species